UUCUUGAAAGACAUCCCAGGUGAUAUAAUCAUCACCCUGCUGCAGAAGGCGUCGGAUUCCUUGCCACCAAUGCGAUGCUUCCCCAGUGAGCAAAUAGGUAGCGAACUCUACACGCUGCCUUUCAGGCACCACCUGCGCUUGCAAUGCUCGUUCCAUGGCCUGAAACCAUGUAUCGGCUUCAGUCGGGCUAGUAGUUCCCUUGAACUUCGGUGGAUUAACCUUCAAAAAGUCCGCCAGUGUCAUCGGACCCUAAACUCCACCUCCGUCAUUACCAUGGUUGUUCAUCUGUUGACCAAGAGCCUCAGCAGUGGCUUGCAUAGCAGCAGCCAUGUUCUCUAACGCAGUCAUAAAGUUCACCGGAUCAUUAGGGUUAGUCUCCGACACACGAGUAUUAGUACGACCUCUCUCACGACCUUUACCGCGUCCACGAGGCGCCAUUUGGUCCCUAUACACACCAAACAAUCGAUAUUAAGUUGAUCAGUCUCAAUAUCGGAAGUUCAGUGCUUCAAAGUCCCAAAUGCAUGCUCAUGAACGUUUAUGCCAAUUAUAUCAAGCAGAUAUACUAGUAGCACAUAACACACAUACAGAGAAUGCACAAAAGCAUAGUCAGUCCAUUCAUCA
rnacentral:lncRNA from 1 species